rnacentral:misc_RNA from 1 species
GAUGAAGAACGCAGCGAAAUGCGAUAAGUAAUGUGAAUUGCAGAAUUCAGUGAAUCAUCGAAUCUUUGAACGCACAUUGCGCCCGCCAGUAUUCUGGCGGGCAUGCCUGUUCGAGCGUCAUUUCAACCAUCAAGCCCCCGGCUUGUGUUGGGGACCUGCGGCUGCCGCAGGCCCUGAAAACCAGUGGCGGGCUCGCUAGUCACUCCGAGCGUAGUAAUACAUCUCGCUCAGGGCGUGCUGCGGGUUCCGGCCGUUAAAAGCCUUAUUUACCCAAGGUUGACCUCGGAUCAGGUAGGAAGACCCGCUGAACUUAAGCAUAUCAAUAGCGGAGGA